AUGGGAUCUGUGGAUAUGACCCUGCUUCCACAGGAAUGUGAAGUGUCCCUUGGAAGAGCUUCCGCCACCUUCCAGGCAGAACUGAAGUCCUCACCAGCCCUGGUGCCCAACCCCUCUUCCCUUCCAGACGACGUGACCAAGGUGAAACCCCCCACGGUCACCGUGUUUGAACCGUCGGAAGCAGAGAUCAGCCGGACCCAGAAGGCCACGCUCGUGUGCCUGGCCACGGGCUUCUACCCCGACCACGUGGAGCUGAGCUGGUGGGUGAACGGGAAGCAGGCCAAGAGCGGGGUCGGCACAGACCCUCAGCCCUACAAGGAGCAGCCCGACCGCAGCGACUCCACCUACUGUCUGAGCAGCAGGCUGAGGGUCUCUGCCUCCUUCUGGCACAAUCCUCGCAACCACUUCCGCUGCCAAGUCCAGUUCUACGGGCUGGACAGCGACUACAAGGACUCUUGGAAGGAGAACCGCACCAUGCCCGUCACCCAGAAUGUCAGUGCUGAGACCCGGGGCAGAGCAGAGUGUGGCUUCACCUCGGAGUCCUAUCAGCAAGGGGUCCUGUCUGCCACCCUCCUCUAUGAGAUCCUGCUGGGGAAGGCCACGGUGUAUGCGGUGCUGGUCAGCGCCCUGGUGCUGAUGGCCAUGCUCAAGAAAAAGGAUUCCUGA